CCUACGGGCGGCAGCAGUGGGGGAUAUUGCACAAUGGGGGGAACCCUGAUGCAGCGACGCCGCGUGGGUGAAGACGCGCCUCGGCGCGUAAAGCUCUGUCAGCAGGGAAGAAAAUGACGGUACCUGAAGAAGAAGCCCCGGCUAAAGACGUGCCAGCAUCCGCGGGAAUACGGAGGGGGCAAGCGUUAUUCGGAUUUACUGGGUGUAAAGGGGGCGCAGGCGGGGAUGCAAGCCAGGAGUGAAAGCCGGGGGGCCAACCCCGGGACUGCACUUGGAACUGCGGGGCUUGAGUGGAGGAGGGGCAGGCGGAAUGCCUGGUGUAGCGGUGAAAUGCGUAGAUAUCAGGAGGAACACCGGUGGCGAAGGCGGCCUGCUGGACUGCAACUGACGCUGAGGCCCGAAAGCGUGGGGAGCAAACAGGAUUAGAUACCCGGGUAGUC
rnacentral:rRNA from 1 species